rnacentral:rRNA from 1 species
UACAGAGGUCUCAAGCGUUGUUCGGAUUCAUUGGGCGUAAAGGGCGCGUAGGCGGGCUCUUAAGUCAGGGGUGAAAGCCCAAGGCUCAACCUUGGAAUUGCCUUUGAUACUGAGGGCCUUGAGACCGGAAGAGGUCGGCGGAACUGCGAGUGUAGAGGUGAAAUUCGUAGAUAUUCGGAAGAACACCAGUGGCGAAGGCGGCUCACUGGACCGGUAUUGACGCUGAGGUGCGAAAGCGUGGGGAGCGAACAGG